rnacentral:rRNA from 1 species
GGAGAGUUUGAUCCUGGCUCAGGAUGAACGCUGGCGGCGUGCCUAAUACAUGCAAGUCGAACGGAGAUUGUAGCAAUACGGUCUUAGUGGCGAACGGGUGAGUAACGCGUUGGUGACCUGCCCCGAAGUGUGGGAUAACAGCCCGAAAGGGUUGCUAAUACCGCAUGUGGUUUUUCGGAUUAGAUGCCGAAUUUCUAAAGGAGAAAUUCGCUUCGGGAGGGGCCUGCGUCCCAUCAGCUAGUUGGUAGGGUAAAAGCCUACCAAGGCGAUGACGGGUAGGGGACCUGAGAGGGUGACCCCCCACAAUGGAACUGAAACACGGUCCAUACACCUACGGGUGGCAGCAGUAGGGAAUAUUGGUUAAUGGGCGAAAGCCUGAACCAGCAACGCCGCGUGUGCGAUGACGGCCUUCGGGUUGUAAAGCACUUUUUGAGGGGAUGAGGAAGGACAGUACCCUCAGAAUAAGUCUCGGCUAACUACGUGCCAGCAGCCGCGGUAACACGUAGGAGACUAGCGUUAUUCGGAUUUACUGGGCGUAAAGCGCGUGCAGGCGGUUCGGUAAGUUGGAUGUGAAAGCUCCUG